rnacentral:rRNA from 1 species
GAUGAACGCUAGCUACAGGCUUAACACAUGCAAGUCGAGGGUCCGGCGCACGGGUGAGUAACACGUAUCCAACCUGCCCUUUACUCGGGGAUAGCCUUUCGAAAGAAAGAUUAAUACCCGAUAUAAAGGAUGGGGAUGCGUUCCAUUAGGUUGUUGGUGAGGUAACGGCUAACCAAGCCUUCGAUGGAUAGGGGUUAGGAGAGGAAGGGACACGGGAUUGGAACUGAGAGACGGUCAAAAGGCGUAGGGGAGGCAGCAGUGAGUAAUAUUGGUCAAUGAGGGCUGGCCUGAACAAGCCAAGUGGCGUGAAGGAUGAAGGCGUAUGGGUCGUAUACUAGUUUGGUAGAAGAAUAUGUAUUAUAUGAAUAAGGAUCGGCUAACUCCGUGCCAGCAGCCGCGGUAAUAC